CCUACGGGAGGCAGCAGUGGGGAAUAUUGCACAAUGGGGGAAACCCUGAUGCAGCGACGCCGCGUGAGUGAAGAAGUAAUUCGGUAUGUAAAGCUCUAUCAGCAGGGAAGAAAAUGACGGUACCUGAGUAAGAAGCCCCGGCUAACUACGUGCCAGCAGCCGCGGUAAUACGUAGGGGGCAAGCGUUAUCCGGAUUUACUGGGUGUAAAGGGAGCGUAGACGGCAGUGCAAGUCUGGAGUGAAAGGCGGGGGCUCAACCCCCGGACUGCUCUUGAAACUGUACGGCUGGAGUGCAGGAGAGGUGAGUAGAAUUCCUAGUGUAGCGGUGAAAUGCGUAGAUAUUAGGAGGAACACCAGUGGCGAAGGCAGCUUACUGGACUGUAACUGACGUUGAGGCUCGAAAGCGUGGGGAGCAAACAGGAUUAGAUACCCUUGUAGUC
rnacentral:rRNA from 1 species